UAUAAAAUGAAAGAGAUAAGCAUCAGAUAUUCACCUCGAUUAUAGAGAAAGAAAAACUUACAUGUCACCUGGUCCAGUGAGAAGCUAAAAAUGAAAUAAUUAAAGUGGACUGAGAGUUAAAUGCACAAAGACAUGCAAGUCCACUUUGCAUUAUUAUUGUACCACUAGCUAGAAAAAAUCUUCUCACUCCUUUAUAUAUUCCUUCUCUUUUGCUCAUUAGAAUCCACAGACGAGGAAUUGAGAUUCUGAUCAUACUCAGACUCUCAGAGAGCUAGUUUAAUAAUUUAACUUCGUGCUUUUUUUACUUUUUUUGGCUCAUGGCUCAAGUGGGUAAAUUCAGUGGCAAUAUGCCAAAGAUGAUCAUCACCCUCAUCCGAAUGCCCAGUUGGAGGCCUCUCAACCGUAAACUCGCCAUCAUAAAAUGCGGUGGUCCUACUCGUUCAGAUAUCAGCCAAGGCCGGGGCGGUGGACAAACACAAGUCAAUAAGCCUACGAGUAAUAAUGGUUCUCCGGGAAGCUCUAAAUCUGAAAAUAAUUCCAACAAAACUAAAGAAGUUGGUGGCGGCACUCCAAAGAAGGGCUAGUGCUACCAAUUAAGAUUAUAUAUAUAUAUAUAUAUAUCGCUACCAUGUGCAAGAUCGCCCAGUUUUCGAUGGAUAUCUGCAUACUAUUACUAGCAAUAGGAUGCAAAAACCUUUCUGUUACUGGUAUAAUAUAUAGGACUCGAAUGCCGACUAUGUAACUUAUGGUAGAAAAAUUUGAUACAUAAUAUAUAUAUAUAUAUAUAUAUAUAUGGGCCUGUUUUUGUACUAAGGUUUUUUGUUAAUAUUUAUGACAAAUUAUCAUGAUUGUUAAAAUGACAUAAUUCCACUCUGUGGAUAAAAUAUAAGGAGUUAAAAAUUAGUUAUGAAUUUAAAAUUCUUAACUUCCUAUAUUUUAUUCAUCAUUGGAUUAGACCAUUUCAAUGUCCAUGAUUAUUUGUUUUAAAUAUUAAUAAAAGAACUUUGUAUAAGGAAGCCUACCCAUAUCUAUAUAUAAAUAUAUGUUACUAUAUGGGUAUGAACAUAUAUAAUGGAUUAUGUGCGUGCUUUCAUGUGCAUGAACGUUGUGAUCAGAAGAACGUUAGAUUUUUAUUAGAUAUCGGAAGGAGUAGGGAGAUCGAUGUGUGUGGAAAUAAGGCCUCAAAAGAAGCCAAAAUUGUGUUUGUAUCAUGAAGAGAUAUACAUAAUAAUGUCUUGCAUAGUUUUAUAAAAAAAAUUAAUUAAAAUGGAUUUGGAUAAAGAUA